GGCCCCUGGCAAUGGGCAAAGAUACAUCUUGUUGGCAGUGUUGUUCUUAUUCAGUCAUGGGUAGAGCAGAUGGCAGUCCCUUGUUCAUCCUAGCUUGAUGCCUGGCAUGGUGGCCAAAGCUGUUUUAUGUCUAGGACACAUAA